UUAAUAUAUUUUUUUAUUCAACAGGUUAGAAAAGAAGAACAACAACAACAUGUUAUAACAACCACUACCAUGAGUACCACCACCACCAACCACCACCAUCACCACCACCACCACUACGGCAACCACCACCCCCACCACACGGCUGCCACCACCACCACCACCACUACCGCCACCACCACCACCACCACCGCCACCACCACCACUCAGCCCACCGUCAUAGAGAGUGGGCGGCCUCACCCUUUCCUGCCCUCGUAUUUGCUGGACAAUGUGGAGGAUGGCGGGGGCAGCAGUGAGGCGGUGGCUGGCGGAGGAGGAGAGAAACAGGCGGAGAAGAACGUGAAGGUCCAUUUCAAUUCUUCCUUCAACGUUGUCAAGUACGGGGACGGCACUGACAUCAAGGAUCCGGAUGUGAAGG